UCAAUCAAAAACCUAAUAUGUAUUUCAUUCAAAUUUCUUUUGAAGAAUAAAAGAGGGUUCCUCUUACUGGAACCCAUAAUUCUAUGUCCCUCAACAAACAUUUACGAUUUCGUCGGUAUUUAAUUGAGAAUAUGUUCUUGCAAUUGGCGAGCAUAAAAAUUGGAGUGUUACUACAUCUGCCGAUCGAUCAACAGAUGGAAAGGCUUAAACCGUAGGCAGAAGACACCAGUUGACUUUGUUGAAACAGAGAGGGUCAAGCAUGAUAAGCCGUCGCCGAUCAACGCCAUCGCCACCAUCAGUCUGGUCGGCUCUCCUUGCUCCCGACCGUCACCACCAACAAUCUCACGCAAUUUUCUCAUCAUAUCCUCCAAUCUUUUGCCUCAAUUUUCUCUCUCCUAUGAUUUGCGUUUCAAUUAUUUCGUAAUUACUCCGGGUCUUUGUUUUUCUGGAAGAUUGGGUUGUUGGUUGGAGAUAUUGGUUUUGGUUCAUUCCUUGACUUUCCAUUUAUCUGUUAGUUUCUUCGAUCCUAUUUAUUUUCUGUUUUCGAUCUUAGAUUUGAUUUUAACUGUUUUGUUUCAGUCGUUGUUUAUAUAUAGUUUUUGUUUGAUUGUUUGUUUUGGAUCUAGAGUUUGUGAUAUUUUCGAUAUCAUGCAAAUUGUUUAGGGAUUUUUCAUCUAGGAUUUUAUGCAUGCAAUCUGUUUAUGUAUUUGAUAAUUUUGGCUGUAAUUUUCUGUUGUUUGAGUUUUAAUUCUGUAGAUCUGAUUUCUUUGGU